UUGUAUAAUUUAGUCAAACUAAGUUAAUUAAAGUAAUAUUUUUAUUUUAUUAAAAAUUCAAUAUGUACAUAUUGGAAAUAAUUAUGAGUACGAAAGUUUUGUAAAUGAAAAAAAAAUCUAGUUUACUUUAAUAUCAAAUAAAUAUUUUUAAAAAGUAAAUUAUAGUAAGUACGUAGGCAUACACAAUAGUUGUAUGUGUUUAAGAAUAGGAACAAAAAAAAAUUCUGAAGCAGAUAUUGUAAUCUUUAAUGUACACCUAUGUAGGUACUUUUAUCUAGUUGAAUAAAAUGCUUAAUUUUAUUUGAAAUAGACCUAACUAGGCAGCUAUUUAAAUAUGUAUAAACCUUUGCAAAUUAAAAAUAAAAUCAAAUUCAAUAUUGUGAAUACAAGUAAUGUGAAUGGAUAACUAGGUAGGUGUUUAUUUACAAAGUAUAAAUAUUGACGACAAAGAUUUAAAGAGAGCGAUUUAUCAUAUAAGUAUUUAAAUAAAUGAGAAAAUAAUGAGAAAAACAAAAAAAGUUUUGUUUUAAAAAACAAAUGAGCGUUUAUUUAUGUACGAAUAAAAAAUAAUAAAAAAAUUAAAACGAAAAGGAUUUGCUAAUUGUUUAGGCAUUGAUUUAUAAUUAAAUUUAAUUAAAAAAAUUUGUCAACAUUCAAUCUAAAAACAAAUAAAAAAGCUUUUUGUCUCAAAGGGCAUAGAAGUUUUGUAAACAGACACAUAGAGGGACGGUAACUUAUUUAUUAUGUUCUAGUACGGAGGUAAAUAAGACAAUAAAUAAAUAUUAAUGUAAUGAAAAGGAUUUUUCCAUAUUAUUUAAAAUAGCAAAUAAUUGGUUUUGAUUUAACAAAUGUUUCGUUAAAUUUAAAUAAAAUUACGUAUAUACUUACUUACGUCUAUCAAAAACAACUACCCGGAGCUUUCAAUGAAAUAAUCGGAAACAAUAACAAAAAUAUUGUUUAAAGUAGUGAAAGAGUGCA